GUACGCUGGCGGCACGCCUAACACAUGCAAGUCGAACGAAGUAGCAAUACUUAGUGGCAGACGGGUGAGUAACAUGUGGGUAUCUUCCCUAUGGCCUGGAAUAACACGAGGAAACUUGUGCUAAUACCGGAUAAGUCUUUACGGAGAAAGCUUUAUGCACCAUUGGAUGAGCCCGCACUUGAUUAGUUUGUUGGUAGGGUAAUGGCCUACCAAGACUUUGAUCAAUAGCUGAUUUGAGAGGAUGAUCAGCCACAUUGGGACUGAGACACGGCCCAAACUCCUACGGGAGGCAGCAGUGGGGAAUCUUGCACAAUGGAGGAAACUCUGAUGCAGCGAUGCCGCGUGAGUGAAGAAGGCCUUUGGGUUGUAAAGCUCUUUCGUCGGGGAAGAAAAUGACUGUACCCGAAUAAGAAGGUCCGGCUAACU
rnacentral:rRNA from 1 species